GAGCGAACGCUGGCGGCAGGCCUAACACAUGCAAGUCGAACGAACUCUUCGGAGUUAGUGGCGGACGGGUGAGUAACACGUGGGAACGUGCCUUUUGGUUCGGAAUAACUCAGGGAAACUUGUGCUAAUACCGAAUGUGCCCUUCGGGGGAAAGAUUUAUCGCCAUUAGAGCGGCCCGCGUCUGAUUAGCUAGUUGGUGAGGUAACGGCUCACCAAGGCGACGAUCAGUAGCUGGUCUGAGAGGAUGACCAGCCACACUGGGACUGAGACACGGCCCAGACUCCUACGGGAGGCAGCAGUGGGGAAUCUUGCGCAAUGGGCGAAAGCCUGACGCAGCCAUGCCGCGUGAAUGAUGAAGGUCUUAGGAUUGUAAAAUUCUUUUACCGGGGACGAUAAUGACGGUACCCGGAGAAGAAGCCCCGGCUAACUUCGUG
rnacentral:rRNA from 1 species